rnacentral:rRNA from 1 species
GACGAACGCUGGCGGCGUGCUUAACACAUGCAAGUCGAACGAAGAGCGAUGGAAGCUUGCUUCUAUCACUCUUAGUGGCGCACGGGUGAGUAACGCGUAAUCAACCUGCCCUUCAGAGGGGGACAACAGUUGGAAACGACUGCUAAUACCGCAUACGAUCUAACCUCGGCAUCGAGGAUAGAUGAAAGGUGGCCGCUACAUGUAAGCUAGCACUGAAGGUGGGGAGUGCGUCUGAUUAGCUAGUUGGAGGGGUAACGGCCCACCAAGGCGAUGAUCAGUAGCCGGUCUGAGAGGAUGAACUGCCACUUUGGGACCGGGACACGGCCCAGACUCCUACGGGAGGCAGCCGUGGGGAAUCUUCCGCAAUGGACGUAAGUCUGACGGGUCAACGCCGCGUGAGUGAUGACGGCCUUCGGGUUGUAAAGCUCUGUUUAUCGGGACGAAAGGUCUUCUUGUGAAUAGUUAGAAGGAUUGACGGUACCGUAAUAGAAAGCCACGGCUAACUACGUG